GACACGCUGGCGGCGUGGAUUAGGCAUGCAAGUCGAACGGUAUCAUCCUUUCGGGGGUGAGAGAGUGGCGAACUGGUGAGUAACACGUAGGUUAUCUACCUCAAGACGGGACAACCCAGGGAAACUUGGGCUAAUACCGGAUGUGAGCAACUUUUAGUUGUUUGAAAGGUGGCGUAAGCUGUCGCUUGGGGAUGAGCCUGCGUCCUAUUAGUUAGUUGGUGAGGUAACGGCUCACCUAGGCAAUGAUAGGUAGGCGGCCUUAACGGGUGGUCGCCCACACUGGGAUUGAGAUACGGCCCAGACUCCUACGGGAGGCAGCAGUCGAGAAUAGUCUACAAUGGUCGGAAGACUGAUAGUGCGACGCCGCGUGAACGAUGAAUCCCUUCGGGGUGUAAAGUUCUUUUAUAUGUGAGCAGUGCUUCUUAUAUUAACAGUAUGGGGAGAGAGAUAUUAGCAUAUGAAUAAGCAACGGCUAACUCCGUG
rnacentral:rRNA from 1 species